CACGCGCCCAACGCCUUCACCCGCGCCUUCUCUUCUUCCUUGCCCUAAUCGCCGGCGGUGGUUGCUCCUUUCCGAGUGUACAAAACGGAAGGCCGACUCUUCUCUUCUUCAUUUCUUUCAUCGCGCCGCCGCCACCUUACUCUCGAUUCCGCGGGUUGUGCCCCAGCCAACGCCUUCUUCCCUUCAUCGACGCGGAUCCAACCGAGCCCUAGCGCCGGCUGCCACCACUGUGCCUUGCCAACGCCACCAUCCUUGUGCUCUAACGCCGGCGACCCUUGGGCGAGAAUCGGUCAUCGCGACUCCUCCUCUUUGGGCUCGCGACACAGCCGAUUCCUUGCUUCUGCCCUAGCCUCCAGCCGCGUGCCCUAUUUGAUCUUGGAGGUCACGGAUUGGUGAGGUUUUUGUGCUUUGUGGGGUGUUUCUGAUUUCCGGCAGCAACCCCAUCCUGUCGCAUUUUGAUUUCCAGCAGUGAUCCCAACCGUGAGGUGAAGUUUUAUGUUGUGGGUUAGCAGUCAAGGCUGUAAUUGUGAUCGUGAGGUGCAUUAGAACUUUCUGUGGGGUUGUGCUGUGGUUGGACAACCACUCCAUUCAGGGGCUAUUGGUUCUUGUAACGACUGUAAGUUUGAGGACAUUGACGUGAGAUGAGUAUCUCGGAGUCAGAUUUGGACCAUUUUAUCGGAGGCGGG